UGUCCUACAUACAUUUCAUCCAGAACUUUUAACAUCGGAGUUAUUAAAACUCCAAGUCCUGUACCACUAACUCCUUGGUCCUCCCCAUUACUCAGGUGCAUUUCAGAAAGUUGAGACUGUACACCACCCUCCGCCAAGGUGUACAAAAACUCGUAUAUCUGCAGCCUGAAAGGUUCACCAGAUCUAAUGGCUAUCGUAGUAAGAGCUUGAACUGCAACAAUUCGGACCUGUGCAUCCACAAAACAUAAACAUUUAGGCAGGAAAUCCUAGAAAUAAUACUCAAAUUAGUAGCCUACACUGAUAGAAACAUUGUGCCGGAAGAAAAUCAAAUAUCAGAUGUAAUGAAGUAACACAGCCUAUCACAUCAGCUAUUUUCUAUAACAGUUACGGCCUCUAAACAGUUAGUAAAGCUUAAAUAAAAAGAGAGAGAGAGAGAGCAAACGAGAUCAUUAUAGUUAACCACAAGUACUCCAGGUUUCACAUUCGUCAUGGUAGACACAAAAAAAACACUGCCAAAAGCUAGCUAAGUAGAGCACUUCAAUCCGCUCACGUCCCUAUAUUCCCACUUAUAAGCAAAGAGACUCAAGAUAUAGUUUCCGCCCUCGUGUGUAAUCAAAUAAUUUAAACAAAUCAGCCCCAGACAGAUAAAGGCCUAUUGCAUCAACCAGCCAAAAUGUUCUUAGACAAGAUAAAGGAAAGGACCGGACCAUUGCAAGAUAAUCAAGUCAUCUAUACAAAUCUUCUAUUUACAAAAUAUAUGAUCAACAAAACAUAGUAGUAUACCUCCCAGUUACCACUAAACGCACACCUCUGGAGGCGAGUUAAUGCACCAGCUACGUGAUAUUGUGCUUAGUGCGGUAUGUGUCAAUGAGUUUUGCACUUCAUAGAUUAGGGGAAAAAAAAGAACAUAUCAGUGUUUUCAUAUAAAACUGCAAUAGAGACAGAAAAGCACCUAAUAUUAUAAAGAGAACCGGGAAAAGGGACACAAUGGUCACCAUACAUUUAACAUGGUUCUUGAAUUUUGUCAGGAUUCCUUUGUUUUUAUAGCGUAGUUUGCAUUUUCUCCAAGGAACCAUACCUGCCACAAUAUUCGUUCUAAGUUAAUGUGUUGAAACUUUACCACAUGCAUGUAAACCCUUCUGAUGAAUGCUUACUGCAGCUUGCACCAAUUUCUGCAGCGCCAGAGCCGACUUCGGAUCUGAUGCAGACACCCUAUCAAGUGAUGUCAGUCCUGACAUGGAUCCUGGUUGUGGAGGUGGUAAAUCGAGUACUAUUGUGACUGCUUCCAGAGCUGUGUGUUUACCAUCAGGACCAGCUCCGAUAAUAUAUCCCUUAUCAAGGAAAACGCCAUUCAACCAUAAGGUCAUAUACAGGUUACAUGCAUGAAUUAUAGGGAAAAGGAUCAGAUUUCUUCCUUACUUGAUUAAUUCGUCUUGUCCUACAUACAUUUCAUCCAGAACUUUUAACAUCGGAGUUAUUAAAACUCCAAGUCCUGUACCACUAACUCCUUGGUCCUCCCCAUUACUCAGGUGCAUUUCAGAAAGUUGAGACUGUACACCACCCUCCGCCAAGGUGUACAAAAACUCGUAUAUCUGCAGCCUGAAAGGUUCACCAGAUCUAAUGGCUAUCGUAGUAAGAGCUUGAACUGCAACAAUUCGGACCU
rnacentral:lncRNA from 1 species